GCGGGCGUAGCUCAGUGGUAGAGCAUCUGCUUCCCAAGCAGAGGGCCGUGGGUUCGAGUCCCAUCGCCCGCUCCA
rnacentral:tRNA from 1 species